UGGGGAAUUUUGGACAAUGGGCGAAAGCCUGAUCCAGCAAUGCCGCGUGUGUGAAGAAGGCCUUCGGGUUGUAAAGCACUUUUGUCCGGAAAGAAAUCCUUGGCUCUAAUACAGUCGGGGGAUGACGGUACCGGAAGAAUAAGCACCGGCUAACUACGUGCCAGCAGCCGCGGUAAUACGUAGGGUGCAAGCGUUAAUCGGAAUUACUGGGCGUAAAGCGUGCGCAGGCGGUUUGCUAAAACCGAUGUGAAAUCCCCGGGCUCAACCUGGGAACUGCAUUGGUGACUGGCAGGCUAGAGUAUGGCAGAGGGGGGUAGAAUUCCACGUGCAGCAGUGAAAUGCGUAGAGAUGUGGAGGAAUACCGAUGGCGAAGGCAGCCCCCUGGGCCAAUACUGACGCUCAUGCACGAAAGCGUGGGGAGCAAACAGGAUUAGAUACCCUGGUAGUCCACGCCCUAAACGAUGUCAACUAGUUGUUGGGGACUUCAUUUUCCUUAGUAACGUAGCUAACGCGUGAAGUUGACCGCCUGGGGAGUACGGUCGCAAGAUUAAAACUCAAAUGAAUUGACGGGGUCAUAGCUG
rnacentral:rRNA from 1 species